GACGAACGCUGGCGGCAUGCCUAAUACAUGCAAGUCGAGCGAACAGAUGAAGUGCUUGCACUUCUGACGUUAGCGGCGAACGGGUGAGUAACACGUAAGGAAUCUACCUAUAAGCGGGGGAUAACAUUCGGAAACGGGUGCUAAUACCGCAUAAUAUCUUCUUCCGCAUGGAAGAAGAUUGAAAGACGGCUCUGCUGUCACUUAUAGAUGACCUUGCGGUGCAUUAGUUAGUUGGUGGGGUAACGGCCUACCAAGACGAUGAUGCAUAGCCGACCUGAGAGUGUACUCGGCCACAUUGGGACUGAGCCACGGCCCAAACUCCUACGGGAGGCAGCAGUAGGGAAUCUUCCGCAAUGGGCGAAAGCCUGACGGAGCAAUGCCGCGUGAGUGAAGAAGGCCUUCGGGUCGUAAAACUCUGUUAUAAGAGAAGAACAAAUUGUAGAGUAACUGCUACAGUCUUGACGGUAUCUUAUCAGAAAGCCACGGCUAACUACGUGCCAGCCGCCGCAGUAA
rnacentral:rRNA from 1 species